rnacentral:rRNA from 1 species
CCUACGGGAGGCAGCAGUGGGGAAUAUUGCGCAAUGGGCGAAAGCCUGACGCAGCGACGCCGCGUGAGGGAUGAAGGUCUUCGGAUCGUAAACCUCUGUCAGCAGGGAAGAACGGUCACUGUGCUAAUCAGCAGUGAAUUGACGGUACCUGCAAAGGAAGCACCGGCUAACUCCGUGCCAGCAGCCGAGGUAAUACGGAGGGUGCGAGCGUUAAUCGGAAUUACUGGGCGUAAAGCGAGCGUAGGCGGUAUGUCAAGUCAAGGGUGAAAUCCCCGCGCUGAACGUGGGAACUGCCUUUGAAACUGGCAAGCUGGAGUGUGUGAGAGGUUAGUGGAAUUCCAGGUGUAGGAGUGAAAUCCGUAGAUAUCGGGAGGAACAUCAGUGGCGAAGGCGGCUAUCUGGCACAUAACUGACGCUGAGGCGCGAAAGCGUGGGUAGCAAACAGGAUUAGAUACCCGGGUAGUC